UACGGGGGGGGCAAGCGUUGUUCGGAAUUACUGGGCGUAAAGGGCUCGUAGGUGGCCAACUAAGUCAGACGUGAAAUCCCUCGGCUUAACCGGGGAACUGCGUCUGAUACUGGACGGCUUGAGUUUGGGAGAGGGACGCGGAAUUCCAGGUGUAGCGGUGAAAUGCGUAGAUAUCUGGAGGAACACCGGUGGCGAAGGCGGCGUCCUGGACCAACACUGACGCUGAUGCGCGAAAGCCAGGGGAGCGAACGGG
rnacentral:rRNA from 1 species